UCCCUGGUGGUCCAGUGGCUAAGACUCCCUGCUCCCAAUGCAGGGAGCUCAGGUUCGAUUCCUGAUCAGGGGA
rnacentral:tRNA from 1 species